UACGUAGGGGGCAAGCGUUGUCCGGAAUCAUUGGGCGUAAAGAGCGUGUAGGCGGUCCGGUAAGUCGGCUGUGAAAGUCCAGGGCUCAGCCCUGGGAUGCCGGUCGAUACUGCCGGACUAGAGUUCGGAAGAGGCGAGUGGAAUUCCCGGUGUAGCGGUGAAAUGCGCAGAUAUCGGGAGGAACACCUAUGGCGAAGGCAGCUCGCUGGGACGUUACUGACGCUGAGACGCGAAAGCGUGGGGAGCAAACAGG
rnacentral:rRNA from 1 species